UGGGGAAUAUUGCACAAUGGGCGCAAGCCUGAUGCAGCCAUGCCGCGUGUGUGAAGAAGGCCUUCGGGUUGUAAAGCACUUUCAGCGAGGAGGAAGGUGGUGAACUUAAUACGUUCAUCAAUUGACGUUACUCGCAGAAGAAGCACCGGCUAACUCCAUGCCAGCAGCCGCGGUAAUACGGAGGGUGCAAGCGUUAAUCGGAAUUACUGGGCGUAAAGCGCACGCAGGCGGUUUGUUAAGUCAGAUGUGAAAUCCCCGGGCUCAACCUGGGAACUGCAUUUGAAACUGGCAAGCUAGAGUCUCGUAGAGGGGGGUAGAAUUCCAGGUGUAGCGGUGAAAUGCGUAGAGAUCUGGAGGAAUACCGGUGGCGAAGGCGGCCCCCUGGACGAAGACUGACGCUCAGGUGCGAAAGCGUGGGGAGCAAAACAGGAUUAGAUACCCUGGUAGUCCACGCUGUAAAACGAUGUCGAUUUUGGAGGUUGUGCCCUUGAGGCGUGGCUUCCGGAGCUAACGCGUUAAAUCGACCGCCUGGGGAGUACGGCCGCAAGGUUAAAACUU
rnacentral:rRNA from 1 species